AGCCCCCGGUGGAGUGGUUAACGCCUUGGCUUCCAAAACCAACGAUUGUUGGUUCGAUUCCUGUACGCCGCUG